GUCAUCUAUAUCCCAUAAUUUUCAUGCCUUUUUAAAAAAAAUUCCGAAUGGUCUUCUUCGCUGUCAGAAACAUGGAGCCUGCACAGCUUGGUACUAUUGUCAUAAGCAUUGCAAACACAGGACGCACGGUCCUCCAGUAUUUGAAAAGGCAUAAGAAGAACUGAAUCAGUGGGGAACAUGAGGAUUUCUUGGAGGACAGAUUGCUGUGGGACAUAGUGGGAGUCAGUUCAAGGUUGGUUGGUGGGAUUCACUGAGCAGCUGCAGAUGGAGUGCUGCUUCUGGGCCUGAGAAAGGAGCGCUGACUGGUGGAAACAUAUUGUGAUGCAGGCUUGAGAUGACGAGCAGUGUCUGCAGAACUUUCAGAUGCGGAAGGCUACAUUCCUGGAUCUAUCCGUCUGAGCUCACCAUGUCCGUCCAGUGCAGCGACACCAAGAUGAGAGCUGCACUGACAGUGGAGAAGCCAGUGACAAUUGUACAGUGAAAACGUGCAACACCAGGUUGCCACCGGUCAGUGGGAAAUCAAUUUGGAGUUGAAUAUUCCACUGCUGGGACCAUUGCCAUGCAAGUGUGUCUCCUGCUAUGCAGGACUAUGACUCAGCAAUGUGCAGGACUUAGUGGAUGGAUUUGCAGUAGAGGGGAACCUGAAUUGUGGUGGAGCAAUAGAUGGCAUACAUAUCCCUAUUUUGGCAUCAGACAACCUUGCCACGAAGUGCAUCAACAGAAAGGGCUACUUUUCUAUGGUUAUGCAGGAAUUGGAACACUGGGGACACUUCACCAACAUUGGUGUUGGCUGGUCAGGGACACUCUCUCAUCUUUAAGAACAGAGGAAUGUUCAGUAAGCUACAAGCAGAGACUUUGUUUCAUGACUGAUGGAUUAAUAUUGGUGAUGUUGAAGUGAACCUGGGGGACCCCUGCUCCCCUGGCUCAUGAAGCUGUACACCAGACACCUAAAAGGCACCAAGGAAAGAUUCAGCUACCCUCUUACCAGAGGCAGAAUCACAGUUAAAUUUGCUUUUUGGUAGAUUGAAGGGAUGCUGGUGGUGUUUAUGCACAAGACUGGAUCUCAGUGGGGGGGAAAAAUCCCAAUAGUUGUAGUUGCCUGUUAAAAUAUCCCAGAAGCAAAGGGGGAAAAGCUGCUGCUGGAGUGGAGAUGGAGUGGCUGUCUACUGAGUUUGAAAAGCCAGACACAAGGGCUAUUAGAAGCACUAACACAGAGCUAUCUGUCUCAGGUAGGCUUUGAAAGAGCACUUUAACAGUGAGCCACAGUAAUGUAUUCUGAUGGACUGUGCUCUACCUGGCCCAGCUAUUUUGGGGCCUGUUAGGAAUUUGUGUGGUGCUAUGUAUGAAUAUAACACUGUCAAUGCACCUAUUAAUUUUGUGUUUGCUAUACACUUAUGAUUAUUACAGUGUCAUUGAUCCUAUGAGUUAUCACACUAUAUAUUAAGGAGUCAAUGGGUGCUUUCAAAACUGCUAGGCAUCCUGUAGCAUAUGUUGUGAAUUCAUAAAGAUGAAUUAUUUUCCAAAUAAUAGAAUUUUAUUCAGUAACAAAAUGAGCACAAAGAAAAAUCUCUGCAGUUUAAAAAUUUAAUAAAUAAAUAGAACAGAACUUAACAAGGGGAAAACUCUUAUGUACAUUUUACAUACACACACAGAACCUGUGGUUUUCAUAGGUCAGUGUAUUACUUCUGGGGAAAUUCUGUGCCAAAAACUUUUAAAAUUCUGCAUAUUUUAUUUGUAAGAAUAACACAAUAUAAUCACACCAGUUUCCAUUAUUUUGGUAAUUUUAUUUCAAAAUACUCUGUCAGCAAGUAGGUCUGUAACAACACCGACAACAAAAAAGAUUCAGGAAAUGUGUUUUGACAGAUUCCUUACAUCUUAAUUCAGAAGUUUAAGUAAUAAUUCAUUUAAACUACAGUACAGAAACAUAUUUCCCACACCCCUCAGAAGCAGUGCAAAGGCUUGGGGGACUCGGGUAAUGGAGGAGCUGAGGGAGAGGGAAUUAAUUGCUGGGAAGGAGACUGGAUGUGAACUUGGAGGGUUUUUGGGUGGGAAAGGCAUGGAACAGGUUUUUUGGUUUGAUUUUUUUUUUUGGUAUGGUUUUUUGAGUGUGUGGGAGGGGAAGGGGUUGUUAGAGAGUCUCCCCCAUGCAGAUCCUGCCUGACCCCUAGCCUCUCUCAUUUAGUCAGGCAUAUCUGCCCCUGUCCCCAUGUGUCCCUGCACCACCCUGUCUUCAUGUGGCUGUGUCCCCCACUCAGCCACCCUCCUGUCCCCAUCCCCAUGUGUUCCUGUGCCCUCACUUGGCCACCUGCCCCCAGUAGCUGAGAGGGCAGCAGCUUAUACCCUCCAUUCUGUCCUUCCCACAGAGAUGCCUCCACAGGGCCUGUUGGGUAGCCCAAAGAUAGCACAUAACAAAGAACAGGUGGUCAGAAGAUUUUUCUUCUGAUUGCAUGAAUUCUGCUGGUUUUUUUGACACAUCUUUCUAUUCAGAUAUUUAAUUCCCCCCUCCCCCCCAUAGCCUUUAUAUACGAACAGUUUAUAUUAAGUAAAUGUUUGUGUUUAAGAUGCCCACAAAGUAGAAGUGAUUAAAUGGUAACAAUUUAAUGUUGGCAGCUCCAUAGAAUGUCACUCUUUUCAUUGUAGUAUCAAAGAGGGUAGUAGUCCAAAUGAAGUGAUUUCCCCUUGGGAUUAUGAACAUUGCUUUGAAGUAUCCCACUUCAGUGCAGUUCUUAGCAGGAGCUUGAUUCAGUGUCUGACGUUGAGGUUGUACCGUCUGUUAAAGUCAGGUUGAGGCACACAAAUGUGGUAUGCAGUUCCUUUGCCCUUUGUCAUUCACCUGACCCUGACUUUCAUAGAGAAGUUAUUCAGACCUUCUGUCACUCAGACUUAGGCAGUCUUAGUGUCUAGGAUUUUCAGUGCACAGGAAACAUAAUGUGGAGUCUUUAAUCUCUUUGAAUAAGUCUCCCAAGUUUACUGAUAUUUUCUGUGCUUGUUGUAUUGAAGCUUUAUGACUACUGAUAGAUAUAGAAAGGGGGAUAUAUUAAUAGUGACUAGACCAUCUACUAGAAACAUCAGUUCAAUAAAUAGUACUCAGUCGAAGCAUAGUUGCAUGCACUGAAGGUGUCAGUCUUUUUAAGUUUCCUAUUGUCUGUACACGUUAAAAGAUUAUUUAGCUGCCUUUUCUAGGUAGACUCAAGAAACUGCAAAAGAGGAUGUGAAAGAAAAAGUACUAUAGGUGGUCCAAGCCCCUUCCCAAAUGCUUAUCUUCAUGUAUUUCCUACUUGAUGAUGGAAUUUGUUUAAUAAAAGCCAUGUGAACAGGUCUGCAGGUACUCCAGUUAGUUCUCCAUAUGAGAGCAGUAAAGCAAUGUAGUAUCAUGGCAUACUUUUAAAAAUAACUCAAAAUACUUACACAGAUACUGCAUUGCAGAAAGAUUCCCAGAUUGGUAGAUCUGUUUUGUGUACAUUAUUUAAAAGAUGAGGAUCCAGUUCUUUUCCCAUUUUUCUUACUUUCUAUUAUUUAAAAAUUGUGAAUGAAUGUAAUGCCCUCAAAAUGAGGGAUUCAUCAUGCUGGUUUGAGGCAGGCAUAGAAUGGGCAGGACUGUGCAGAAUUACCCAUAGCUAAUAUUCCCACUCCCCAGAUAUACCAUAGCAUUGCAAUUCUACUCCUGUGCCAGUCAUGUAAAAUCUAGUGGUUUAGUGAUAGGAACAUCCAGAGAUUUGACUAAUAAACUUUCACUCUUGAUCUAAGUUCAGACUUGAAUCCAGGUCCUCAGAUUUGAAGGCUUAGUGGACUAAUGUACAGUGCCCUGUAGCUCCUUUGCUUUUUCUUAAUAUUUUUUAUCUGUAUGUGAUAUUGAAUAUUGCCAUGUUAUCUAUUUUAUUCAUCUAAGUUAUUGAGAAACUAUUUUGUAUUAUUUUAAUGAUAAAAUGUUUUGUGAUCAUUUCCCACUUUUAAAAUUGUCUUUUACUGGGUUUCAUAAUGUCAUUGGUGGUGGUGCAUUUUUUUCAUUCAUAUUAUAGAUUCAGGCUUUAGUCAGAUAUAAAGCCAAAAAGUCCUUUUUUUAUAAAGACAUCUUUUUAGUUCUAUAGUCUCCAAGAGUGUGAAUCAGUGGAGGCUAUAUGAAUCAUAGGGAAAUUGACAUUAUCUUUAUUAUUAUUGACAUUAUUAUUAUAGUUGGGAAUUGUAUGAUGGUAUUAUCCUCCCACCCUCAUGUCCCUUGAGAGCUGGAUUGUUUUCCUAUGUUUAGAAUAGUUAGCACAAUAAUCUGCCGCUUCUUUUCAAGUGUGUAAGCCACUGGAGGUAAUUUGCCAUUGCUGUAUAUGAGGACUUUGAGAAAUUACUAGUUUCUGCAGGAGGAUCCAGUCACUGCUCCUCUGUGAGGAAUGAAAGCUGACCAGCAGCACUCUUCUUUGGAGAAUCUUUUUGCUUCAGAAGAUACCUCCAAGUACAGAGAACCUUCCUCCACCAGAAAAAUAGGAGGGUUGUUACAAAUUGCUCAAUCUGAAAUGGCCAUCUAUUGGAUACAGAACGCCUUGGGAAGUGCAGGGAGCCAGGACUCUGCUGCCAAGGCUAAAAUGGGGGGUUUCCCUCCCUUUUUCAUAAAUCAGCAGCUUCCCACAAACUUCUGACAGUAUCCACAGGAAAAAGAGAAAACCCUCAGUGUUACCACAGAUAUGCUCAAAUGUUGUUGGCCUCUCUUCUGCCAUCUGACAGUAUCCCUUGUUGCUCUGCAUCUGGAGCUGGCAAGCUACCUCAACAAGAUCGUCAGUGAAGCCAUUUUCUUUGCAGUUGCUAUUUGCCUCGGCCCCCUUCUACUCAGCCUAACCACAGAAGUUGGUUCCCCUAUAGACACAGGAAGGACAAAAAAUGCUGUUGUUCACCAUGGGAAAUGCCCUGUUCUUAUGUUAAGAAUCUUGACAGGCUUCCUUCUCCCUUUCCACAGAGUGGCUGCCUUCAGGAACUCUGUUCUGAACGUUGGUUAUCAGGCUCCCAUUCAGGGAGGCAGAUUUCCUGAUGAUGAAAUGAA